GGAAAGUGGAGGCAGAGCGAGAAGCACACUUUUACAUGGGGUGGUUAUCGAGUGUGCAACACUGCUGGCCUUAGCAGCUGUCAGAGCAACAUGUUCUGUCAUACGGACCCUGUAAGAGUGAACAGAGGCAAAUCCUGUGGUUGAAGUUCUAGCCCAUCCGAAAAAUAAUCUAGGAAGACGCUGGGAUAUAAUGCUGAAUACUAUUGUUAUCUAAGACCCACUUCUAUCAGUAAGACCUGGACUGCAUUGCAAUACUACCUCUGCCAAGUACAAGUCUCUAGAAACAUUACCUCAUUUCCUCUCAUCCAUGACAAUGAAAAUAAUGCCACCUAUUUCCUAUGGUUGGGCGAAGUAAGAGAUGUGGCACAUAAUGCUUCUAAUCCUGGCAGGUGCGGUAAAGACGUCUGAUUACUUUCCCUGCUUUUUCCUUCAAUUUGUCAGGCAUGAAGCCAAGACAAAUACUUCUGUCUUGUGUAGACUUGUCCAAUUUCCUUAUCCCUCCAUUCAAGUCAGAGCCUGGCCCCAGCGAGAAGAGAGACAGCAGAUGCGAUCUUCUCUGCACCAGGGUUGGCCUCAGCAUGAAAUUCUCUUCAUGAAAACAGCAGCCAUCUCGUUUGCUGGAAUAAGGAUGAGAGAAAGGGAAGUAAGAACAUGGUUGACUAUGGGCCGGAGGGAGGAGGUAUAAAACGUUUAAAGAGAAAGAAGGUAAGAAAAUCAUCUAGUUAAAUAGAAAUAGAUUUUUUAAAAAUUUAUUAGGGACCCACUUGAUGUAAUUACUAUGAAUUUAAAGUAGGAACAACCCAC
rnacentral:lncRNA from 1 species